UACGGGGGGGGCUAGCGUUGUUCGGAAUUACUGGGCGUAAAGGGCGCGUAGGCGGUCUGCUAAGUUGGAUGUGAAAACUCUGGGCUUAACCCAGAGCCUGCAUUCAAUACUGACAGGCUAGAGUUCUGGAGGGGAUAGCGGAAUUCCUGGUGUAGCGGUGAAAUGCGUAGAUAUCAGGAGGAACACCAGUGGCGAAGGCGGCUCACUGGACCGGUUCUGACGCUGAUGCGCGAAAGCGUGGGGAGCAAACGGG
rnacentral:rRNA from 1 species